UACGUAGGCAGCAAGCGUUGUUCGGAAUUACUGGGCGUAAAGAGUGUGUAGGCGGUGCUCUAAGUUCGUUGUGAAAUCUCCCGGCUUAACUGGGAGGGUGCGGCGGAAACUGGAGUGCUCGAGCGCGGGAGAGGAAAGCGGAAUUCCUGGUGUAGCGGUGAAAUGCGUAGAUAUCAGGAGGAACACCUGUGGUGUAGACAGCUUUCUGGACCGUAGCUGACGCUGAGACACGAAAGCGUGGGUAGCAAACAGG
rnacentral:rRNA from 1 species